GUGUCAGCAGCCGCGGUAAUACCAGCUCUCCGAGUGGUGGGGAUGAUUAUUGGGCCUAAAGCAUCCGUAGCCGGCUGGACAAGUCCCCUGUUAAAUCCAACGAUCCAAUCGUUGGUCUGCGGGGGAUACUGUCCGGCUUGGGGGCGGGAGAGGCCGCCGGUAUUUCCGGGGUAGGGGUGAAAUCCUAUAAUCCCGGGAGGACCACCAGUGGCGAAGGCUGUCGGCUAGAACGCGCCCGACGGUGAGGGAUGAAAGCUGGGGGAGCGAACCGGAUUAGAUACCCGGGUAGUCCCAGCUGUAAACGAUGCAGGCUAGGUGUUAGGGCGGCUACGUGCCGCUCUAGUGCCGCAGGGAAGCUGUUAAGCCUGCCGCCUGGGGAGUACGGUCGCAAGGCUGAAACUUAAAGGAAUUGACGGGG
rnacentral:rRNA from 1 species